UUUAGAGCUGGGAACUCAAACCAAGGUCAACACCCUCACUAGAAGUAAGACGCUGAAACAGUUAUCGGACUCUGCUGAACCAAACCAUCUCCGGACCCAACAGUUCCUCUCCCAAAGUCUCUUCUACGCAUCUCAAGACUCCAGUGAACCAGUCCCCAGGCCUGAACCAGCAAACUGUACAUUUACUACGUGCUUGUGUAACAAUAAACUUGUUAACUUUU